CAUACAGGCACACACACACAGACACUCACACACACAGAAACACAGACACACUAACACACACCCAGACAUAAACACACACUCACAGAUAGACACACAAACAGACUCACACAGAAAGACACAUAGACACACUCACACAGACAGACACUCACACACUCAUAGACACUCGCACACACUCACACAGACACACACACUCACACACAGACAGACACAGAUACACUCACACAGACACACACACACACAAAAACACACAAAGACAGACACUCAGACACACACACUCACACAGACACACACACUCACACACAGACAGACACAGAUACACUCACACAGACACACACACACACAAAAACACACACAGACAGACACUCAGACACACACACUCACACAGACACAGACACAUGCUUUUCUAAACACAACAGACAUGUCCUGGAGACUGCGGUAAAGCCAGCCUCCACUUGCUGAUUUACGGUAAAGUGAGCCUUCAGUCGAUUUUGCUAAGUGCACGCGUUCAAAGCCUUACGGUAAAAGGUCGGGCCACUUUUACCGUAAAUAUAAUAAUAAUAAUUCAUAAGAAAUAUAUAAGUCAGUCAGCAGGCAUCAUCAUCAACGCCCCUCACCUGAAGCUCAGCUUCAGCAGCUACUUCCGCUCACCUUCGUCAGUUUUGGUGGUGUCACAUCUGUUGCCGUUUAUCAUCAUCCUCUCCUGCCCUCAGAUAAAUGACCAAAACAAACUUCAUCUGCUUGAACGGAUUUGUGGUGGUAACGGGGUGGAUGCUGAAGCUAGACGUGAACCCUAGCUCUCUGUUACAGCUGCUUCUGUUGGGAGAAGCUUCUCAAACUGAGGCUCAUCAUGGCACAAGAACAUCUAAGAUGACCCCAUUGAUGACUUUGCAUCGAGAAAAUAUUUGUGCAUCUGUAAGACUCCUGCUAUUGCUGACAGAGGCUGGUCACAUGACCUACCAAGGUGGAAGCCUAAGGCCCUUCCUGAUAGUCACUUUUUUUUGCUGAGGGAACCGAUACCAUUGCAGUUGCCUAAAAGUGGCUUCACUGUAACUUGUCAUUUCUGUUCAGCUAAUAUUUUAGUUUUGUGAUCAUUUCUAUGAAUAUUUUUUUUAUCUACAUCAAAAAAUAAAUAAAACCUGUAUUUUUGUGUGGUAGAAGUAUUGGUAUCGGCGAGUACUCUGAUCCAAGUAUCGGUUUGGAAAGAAGAGGUAUCGAUGCAUGCCUAAUAUUAAGUCUUUUAUCCAGAACCAUCUCAGAGCUCAGGUCAGGUUAUGAUUCCAGUCC